UUUUAUGGAGAGUUUGAUCCUGGCUCAGGACGAACGCUGGCGGCGUGCCUAAUACAUGCAAGUCGAGCGAACAGAUAAGGAGCUUGCUCCUUUGACGUUAGCGGCGGACGGGUGAGUAACACGUGGGCAACCUACCUUAUAGUUUGGGAUAACUCCGGGAAACCGGGGCUAAUACCGAAUAAUCUAUUU
rnacentral:rRNA from 1 species